UACGGGGGGGAGCAAGCGUUGUUCGGAUUUACUGGGCGUAAAGGGCGCGUAGGCGGUCAGCACAAGUCAGUUGUGAAAUCUCCGGGCUUAACUCGGAAAGGUCAACUGAUACUGUGCGACUAGAGUGCAGAAGGGGCAACUGGAAUUCUCGGUGUAGCGGUGAAAUGCGUAGAUAUCGAGAGGAACACCUGCGGCGAAGGCGGGUUGCUGGGCUGACACUGACGCUGAACUGCGAAAGCUAGGGGAGCGAACGGG
rnacentral:rRNA from 1 species